AUUCUUACAUUCUUCUCCAACAGUCCAACUCCACAAUAUGUCACACUCGAAUUUAGAGGACGCAGGACUAAGCUUAAUACUGGUUACUCUUCAUAGGUGCUUGCGAGUGAGAUUGUCGCUGUUGUUGUUUUUACCGUCGCUUAAAGGACCAGGUUUAUCUCUGACACGAGCCUUUUUGUAGGGGAGAAUUCUUGGCACAAAAUAUGAAUUGGACUUUCCUGAUAGUUACCCUCGUAGUGACAUCUACCGCAUAUACACAUACUCUGAAGAGCCACUACGGCCAGAAUUCUUCCGCUACGGUCAGAAAAACCAGACAACCCAUAAACCUCGCAGCAUUGACGAAGUGGGAGCUUCAGACGAUAAAACAACUUCAAAAAAUAAAUAAGCUGAUACGUAACCUUAAGUCCGAAAAUGGAUGUUCAAAAGGAGUCAAUACCCCGCAGUACUGCCAACUCCACUGGCUCCCAGACACGCUGCUGCGCUUGUCGGCUCGCAUAGACAACAAGAAUAAUGAAGUUCAACUGCAGACUGAGGGCGAGAAAGAGAUCCAUGAAAAGCACCUCAUGAUCAACACGUUAAUAGAAAAUAUGGUCUCUGUUACGGGCUGCUCUAAAGACAAGGAAGAAAAAAAGAAGGACGAAGAGCGCAAAAAAGCCCUGGGCAAAGCAAGCAAAAGUCAAGACAAAAAAGGGAAAGGUGGAGAGGCAAAAGCUGAGGAUGAUAAAAAGAAAGCGAAGGAAAAGACCACCGAGACUGAAGAGAAGAAAAAGGAGAGUAAAGAAGCGGGAGUUCCCGAGGGACAAAUUGAGGCCGAAGACAAAGUCACUCCACCUGAGGUUUCAAAGGAGACUCCUCCUGGCUCCUCAGACGGGAAGGAGGAAACCAGUGCUGGAGAAACAGAGGGUGAAGAGGAGAAAGAAACUGGAGAAGGAGAUCCUGCCGAAGAAACUGGUGAUGAAGACACGGAAGAAACAGAGGACGUCGAAGAAGAGGAGAAGACGAGUGGGUGUGAUUAUUCGCAGUUUGGACCAUUGCACACAAUGUUGAAGCCGCGAAGUAGCUGCGAAAUUCAUAAGACAGGUUUGGAUGAAGGAGACAAAGAAGAAAUUCUUAGGCUUCACAAUAAUCUCAGAGCCAAGGUUGCUCGCGGGGAGGAGACAGAAGGUAAUCCCGGCCCUCAGCCUCCCGCUGCCAAUAUGAGAGAACUUGUCUGGAAUGAUCAGCUGGCUGAAGUUGCAGAGGCGUGGGCAAAGCAAUGCAAGCAAGGGCAUGACCAAGUCGGAGAAAGAAAAAUAUGCUCUAGAAAUUACUUCGUGGGACAAAACCUCCACUUCUACUAUGGCCCUUCCCCGGUUGUUGACUGGGAGAAUGCAGUCAAUGAAUGGUACAAUGAAGUAGCAGAUCUGCCAAAUGAAAUUGCUGCAUCUUAUCGGUCAUUGCUUCCUAUCAAAAUUGGACAUUACACUCAGGUCGUGUGGGCAGAUACCACCGAAAUCGGCUGUGGCAUCGUUCAUUACCAAAUAGAGUACAGUGGCAGGUUUUUCCCGGAGGCUAAGUUGUACGCCUGCAAUUACGGACAAGCGGGAAAUGUGGUGACCUUUCCCAUAUACCAGCAGGGCCCGGCUGCAUCUCAGUGCCCCAAUGGAGUCUCUGAGAAUUACCCUGACCUCUGCGCUUGAGGCUUUUUUAUGUAAAUAUAUAAAGAAAGAGAGGAGAUCACAAAUGGCACGUUCGUUUUCAUUCACUUAGAACAAAUAUGACUGACUGAACCCACCUGUCUUUAACCGAACACAGCACAUAGUACAAAGAACUACACUGUGAAGUGCACACGUAUGGUAUCCCUCCUCGAGUGCACUGAAAUGCCAAGUGGGAAUUGGAAUACAGAGGUUACUGCACCAACAAACAUCCUGACGACAACUGAGUCUGGACAGGAAACGUUUGCAAACAGUUUGGAAUCUGUUUGCAAACAAUGUUUCCUGGUGAGGACAGGCUUUUAGAAGUAUUAUAAUAAUAAAAAUUAUCUAUAAGUGUCAUUCCUGGAGAGAUUGACUUCAAAUAUCUAAAUAAAAUGUUUGCAGAAUAUAACAAAUAUUACUUAAGUAACUAUAACAGGGCCUGAUUACAUACAUUUUUGUACUAGUUACUAAGUGGUUAGAAUAUUUAAUUUUUAGUAUUCCAGUCUUGUUAUCUGUAAAUAAAUAUAAAUAAUAAA